rnacentral:tRNA from 1 species
GGGCUCAUAGCUCAGUUUGGUAGAGCAACCGGCUCUUAACCGGUAGGUCGAGGGUCCGAUUCCCUCUGAGCCCG